UACGUAGGGUGCAAGCGUUAAUCGGAAUUACUGGGCGUAAAGCGUGCGCAGGCGGCUAUGCAAGACAGAUGUGAAAUCCCCGGGCUCAACCUGGGAACUGCAUUUGUGACUGCAUGGCUAGAGUACGGUAGAGGGGGAUGGAAUUCCGCGUGUAGCAGUGAAAUGCGUAGAUGUGCGGAGGAACACCGAUGGCGAAGGCAAUCCCCUGGACCUGUACUGACGCUCAUGCACGAAAGCGUGGGGAGCAAACAGG
rnacentral:rRNA from 1 species